rnacentral:rRNA from 1 species
UGCGUAGGUGGCGAGGUAAGUCGGAUGUGAAAGCUCGGAGCUCAACUCCGAAAUGGCAUUGGAAACUACCUUGCUCGAGGGUUGGAGGGGGGACUGGAAUUCUCGGUGUAGCAGUGAAAUGCGUAGAUAUCGAGAGGAACACCAGUGGCGAAGGCGAGUCCCUGGACAACUCCUGACACUGAGGCACGAAAGCUAGGGAGCAAACA